GGAAGAAAGGAAGUGAAGGAGAGAGGGAGGGAGGAAAAAAGGAAGGGAAGAAGGAAUCCUUAUUUGACCUGUACUCCUUUAGAACCCAAAGUUAGUUCUAGUCCUCUCCGUUUCUUUGGAUACUCAUUUUCCUACACUGGGAUUUCUACCUUCCUUCUUUCCCAAACUCAAAAACACAGUAAUGAUCUUGCUUUUAAGACAUAUCAUAUCAUGUUUUUCAGUUUUGGAUGUUGCUGCCAAGGGCAGUCAGCUCAUUUGACUCUAUCUACUAUGCUGCAUUUGAGAUUUUGUCAAUGCCAUUGAAUACAAAGGUGAAAGCAAGAGCCCAUAAAUAUGGCUGCAUCAAAAAGACAUGCAUAGAAUGGUGAAAAAUUUGAGUUGCUUGAUGUUCACAUUUCUCGGCUGAGGUUGAAUGAGGCUCCAGAAACUGACCAGCAAGCCUGCAGACCAGCAGAUGGAUGGAGGAAUGACGGGGCAGAGAAAGGGAGAAGAGGAGGAACAUCUGAACGCCAAGAGGAAUAAGGCUGGGGGCAGUCCGAAAGGAUUCUGUUUGCUGGGCGGCCCGACCCCAGGGGAGGAUCAUUUUCCCACUCCAUCCCCUGCUUCUGACUCCCCAUUUAUCCUGCUGAAAGUCACCUCCACCUCCACCUCCACCACUCAAUAAAACUUCGCAUUCAUCCUUCGA